rnacentral:lncRNA from 1 species
UGUUUACCAGAAAAUUGUCCCAAGACCUCUCACUGGGCCUUGGGGCUAACAGGUGGACAGUGUGGUAAGAAAAAUUCUGUUACUUUUCUUCUCCCUAGGAAGCCUUGGGAGUUCCUAGGCAUCCCCCUGUAAAGGACAGCAAGAGUCUCCGGCUCUAGGCCCACUUGUGAAGAUGCAGAGGCCAGAGAGUGGAAGGUACUCAGGAGCCCUGCCCACGAUGAAAGCCUGUCCAGCGUUUGAUGAGCUCUUCUUUCCACCUGCUCCUGCCCAGUGAUGAAACUGUGGGCUACUAGCCCCAUUUCACAGAAAAGAAAACAGAGGUUCCAAGAGGCUUGUGAGUGGCUGAGUCCCUGAGCUCCAGCUAGAACCUUACAACUCAAGUAACUGUUGGCGCCUACCCAACACUUGAAGUUGAGGUCUAGGAGCCAAAGGAACCCCAGACCUUGGGGUGGGAGAAGGCUCUGUUGAAAAAUGGACUCAUCUGAGCUCCUAGAAUCUGGAUUCUUCCAUCUGCCCAAAUCCUGUGGAAGAGGAAACAAAACAGAAGUGGGUCCCGAUACUUUGGUUUUAUGGCUGAUUUUCUUAUAAUCCACCCUACCUUGGCACGAAGUUAAUUCUUUGUGUGUUCAUGUGCAUCUAUGUUUUCAGGUGUGUGUGUGUGUUUGUGUGUGUGUGUGCUCAUGCACACGAGGAGGUACAGAAUACAACUAAAAUGCCAUUCCUUAGGUGCUAUCUA